CACGUAGGGGGCAAGCGUUGUCCGGAAUCAUUGGGCGUAAAGAGCUCGUAGGCGGCUCAGUAAGUCGGGUGUGAAACCCCCAGGCUCAACCUGGGGACGCCACCCGAUACUGCUGUGGCUAGAGUCCAGUAGGGGAGUGUGGAAUUCCCGGUGUAGCGGUGAAAUGCGCAGAUAUCGGGAGGAACACCGGGUGGCGAAGGCGGUUCUCUGGGCCUUACCUGACGCUGAGGAGCGAAAGCGUGGGGAGCGAACAGG
rnacentral:rRNA from 1 species